ACUGGUUAAGGAACUCGGCAAAUUGACACCGUAACUUCGGGAGAAGGUGUGCCCUUUGUUGUGAAGUCCGUACGGAUGGAGCGACGGGGGGUUGCAGAGAAACGGGGGUUGCGACUGUUUACUAAAAACACAGGACUCUGCGAACACGCAAGUGGACGUAUAGGGUCUGACGCCUGCCCGGUGCUGGAAGGUUAAGGGGAGUUGUCAGCGAAAGCGAAGCAGCGAACCGAAGCCCCAGUAAACGGCGGCCGUAACAAUAACGGUCCUAAGGUAGCGAAAUUCCUUGUCGGGUAAGUACCGACCUGCACGAAUGGCGUAACGACAUCCCCACUGUCUCAACCAGUGACUCAGCGAAAUUGUAAUCGCGGUGAAGAUACCGUGUACCCGCGGCAAGACGGAAAGACCCCAUGAACCUUUACUGCAACUUGACAGUGAAGCUCGGGACAGAUUGCGUAGGAUAGGUGGGAGGCUGUGAAGUCGGGAUUCUGGUCUCGGCGGAGCCAACGUUGAAAUACCACCCUGUUUGUUCUGGGCUUCUAACCCAGGCCUCUAAGCGAGGUCGGGGACACUGUCUGGUGGGCAGUUUGACUGGGGCGGUCGCCUCCUAAAAAGUAACGGAGGCGCGCGAAGGUUCCCUCAGGCUGAUCGGAAACCAGCCGUAGAGUGUAAUGGCACAAGGGAGCUUGACUGUGAGACCGACAGGUCGAGCAGGUGCGAAAGCAGGUCAUAGUGAUCCGGCAGUUCUGCAUGGAAGGGCUGUCGCUCAUCGGACAAAAGGUACUCUGGGGAUAACAGGCUGAUCGCGCCUGAGAGUUCAUAUCGGCGGCGCGGUUUGGCACCUCGAUGUCGGCUCAUCGCAUCCUGGGGCUGGAGCAGGUCCCAAGGGUUUGGCUGUUCGCCAAUUAAAGCGGUACGCGAGCUGGGUUUAGAACGUCGUGAGACAGUUCGGUCCCUAUCUGCCGUGGGCGGAGGAUACUUGAGAGGGUCUAACCAUAGUACGAGAGGACCUGGUUGGACGUACCUCUGGUGAUCCGGUUGCUCCGCCGGGAGCAUCGCCGGGUAGCUAUGUACGGAACGGAUAACCACUGAAAGCAUCUAAGUGGGAAGCCGGCCUCAAGAUGAGGUAUCCCGGGGCGUAAGCCCCCUGAAGGCCCCUCGAAGACUACGAGGUAAUAGGCUGGGUGUGGAAGCGCAGUAAUGCGUGGAGCUAACCAGUACUAAUCGGCCGUGAGGCUUGACCUU
rnacentral:rRNA from 1 species